CUGCUGUCAAGGAGUUUACAUUCUACUGGGGAAAAUAACAGAACCCAGGGUGAGCGUUCAGAUGACCUCCCCAAGGAGACUGGGGAACGUUCUGAAACCUUCAAGCCGUGAGGCAGAGUGAAUAAGGACUCCUUAUCAUCUACUGCAGUCCUCAUUUCACCCCUGGGAAGAGCACAGAUGCUGAGGCAAGAAGGCCCACCUACACUCAGCAUGAGAAGAGAGUUAAAUUCUUUCUCAAUUCUUCUUGGGGCCUUUCUCACAAGAAGAUAAAUACAUGAACCGCGAUUUCAUCAGUAUAGAAAGCUGCUAAUGACUGAUAUAAAUCAGCAUCUUCCCUGUAACCUAAACAUCUCAUCUUACAGAUGAAGAAAGUGGACAGGGCUGGAAAGAUGCAAGGCUCUGUAUCCAAGAGAACUUCCCAAGACUUGUCAAACCUGAAGAUUCCUGUCUGCCUCUAGUGAUUCACUGGGGACCCAUCUGAUAGUGCCAGAAGAAUCAUUAGCAUUGCUAAUGACCAUGAAGUCAUGGGAGAGAAAUUGAAGACCUUCAGGACACAGGUGGAAUUUUCAUCAUGGCAUUAGAUCAAAGCAUCAUUGGGUGUCCUUGAAGGUGCAAACCUGAAGCAUCUGGAGCCAGAUGAAUCGUCCAGAUGUGCGAUGGAUCAUUCAUGCACUUUGUAGCACACCAUAAGGCGCAGAAGAGGCCAGCCAAUGGAGAGGCAUAGACAUGUGCCAAAAACGCUUGCCCAGAAUUGCUCUGGGAUUGACUGGAACGCAUUUGAAAUGCUCCCAGGGCUUAACAGAAAUAUGGCUCUGCUGAUGAAUGGGACAAUGGUAUGGAUGCUGAAUAGCUCUUGAUUUCUUGGGUUGGCAUGUCACAAACGCCUUUAUCUCCUUACCUCAGUGCCAGGGGGUCCAAUGACAAGAUGCUUGGGUUCCAAAGAUGCCAUCAGUUAAUUAGUAAGGUUUCCUAUUUCACAUCCUACUCUUGCUCUACCAUUCGAUUCAGGGGACUGGAGGUGUAGAAGAGAAAUGACAAUAAUAAUAUCUCAUGUUUCUAUAGCACUUCAAAGUUGGCAGAAUAUUUCAUGUACCACCAGGCAGGGUAAGUGUUAAUCUCCAUGUUCUAGAUGAGAAAACUGAGGCUUAGAAAGGUUACAGACUGGUUUGUGGUCAUAGUAAGUUUCUGAGAAAGGAUUUGAACCCAGGUCUUCCUUAUUCCAAUGCCAUCAUUCUCUCCACCAUCCAGCACCUGAUGUAUUCAGCUUCAUACUUACAAGCAAGCCAAGGCUAUUGUUAAAUUUAGAAACAGAAUAUUUUCAUUCAGAAUAUUUGUAUUUUUAGCAAGUUGUCUCUUCUGAUAGAAUAUAAGCUUCUUAAGGGCAAGGACUUUCA